rnacentral:rRNA from 1 species
UGCAUCGGAACGUGCCAUUUAGUGGGGGAUAACUCAGGGAAACUUGAACUAAUACCGCAUACGAUCUACGGAUGAAAGUUGGGGAUCUUCGGACCUGACGCUAAAUGAUCGGCCGAUGUCAGAUUAGGUUGUUGGUGGGGUAAAGGCCUACCAAGCCUAUGAUCUGUAGCUGGUCUGAGGGGACGAUCAGCCACACUGGGACUGAGACACGGCCCAGACUCCUACGGGAGGCAGCAGUGGGGAAUUUUGGACAAUGGGGGCAACCCUGAUCCAGCGAUGCCGCGUGAGUGAUGAAGGCCUUCGGGUUGUAAACUCUUCAGUAGGAAGAAUCUUUAUGGUGAUAUCCAUGAAGGAUGACGGUACUAAAGAAGAAGCACCGGGCUAACUACGUGCCAGCU